rnacentral:rRNA from 1 species
GUCCACGCCCUAAACUAUGUCAACUAGCCGUUGGGAUCAUUGAAGGUCUUAGUGGCGCAGCUAACGCGAUAAGUUGACCGCCUGGGGAGUACGGCCGCAAGGUUAAAACUAAAGGAAUUGACGGGGGCCCGCACAAGCGGUGGAGCAUGUGGUUUAAUUCGAUGCAACGCGAAGAACCUUACCAGGCCUUGACAUCUAGCGAACUUUCCAGAGAUGGAUUGGUGCCUUCGGAGCGCUAAGACAGGUGCUGCAUGGCUGUCGU